rnacentral:lncRNA from 1 species
UGUUACAAAAGCUGUUCAAGUGAAACCAUGAUCUUAUAUAAUCUCAGUUGAUUUCUAAUACAUUCAGUUUCUAGGUAAUUAGUCCAGAAGCUUACAGGAAGCUAGGGUUAUUCAUUUGCACAGGAAACAUGAAUGACACCUUAUAUAAAAUACAGAACUGGUGUAAAGUGACUAGUGAAUGUCCAAUUCUUUGAUUCAAUCAAAAGCCACACCAGCAGUGUGCUGCAUUAAUGUUUGUUGUAUAGUAUGAAUGACACCUUAUAUAAAAAUACAGAAAUGGUGUAAAGUGUUUAGUGAAUGUCCAAUUCUUUGAUUCAAUCAAAAGCCACACCAGCAGUGUGCUGCAUUAAUGUUUGUUGUAUAGUCAACAAAAUUGUGCUGUUCUGAUAGUUUUUGGUAAACCCCAUUGUGGGAACAUGCUUCUCUUUCUUUUGCAUUGUUAAAUGCAAUGUUUUCUCUUAAGAAAAGAACCAAAUGGUGGUGUUGGGGAAAUGAGAUUUAUGAUGUUGCAUGCAUGUGCUUCAAAGGGUACAGCUUCUAGAGAAGUAGUACUGACAAUGAAAGUAGUAAAGGAUGGCUUUGACCCAAGGGAACUGUACAUGUGGGGAUGUCUGCC